rnacentral:rRNA from 1 species
CCUACGGGUGGCUGCAGUGGGGAAUAUUGGACAAUGGGCGAAAGCCUGAUCCAGCCAUGCCGCGUGUGUGAAGAAGGCCUUCGGGUUGUAAAGCACUUUCAGUGGGGAAGAAAGCCUUGGGGCUAAUACCCUCGAGGAAGGACAUCACCCACAGAAGAAGCACCGGCUAACUCCGUGCCAGCAGCCGCGGUAAUACGGAGGGUGCGAGCGUUAAUCGGAAUUACUGGGCGUAAAGCGCGCGUAGGCGGUCUGAUAAGCCGGUUGUGAAAGCCCCGGGCUCAACCUGGGAACGGCAUCCGGAACUGUCAGGCUGGGGGGCAGGAGAGGAGGGUAGAAUUCCCGGUGUAGCGGUGAAAUGCGUAGAGAUGGGGAGGAAUACCAGUGGCGAAGGGGGCUUUCUGGACUGAAACGGACGCUGAGGUGCGAAAGCGUGGGUAGCAAACAGGAUUAGAUACCCUAGUAGUC